rnacentral:rRNA from 1 species
UUAGGAAUAUUCGUCAAUGGGGGAAACCCUGAACGAGCAAUGCCGCGUGAGUGAUGACGGUCUUUAUGAUUGUAAAACUCUGUUGUAAAGGAAGAAUAGCUAUUAUAGGAAAUGAUAAUAGUGUGACGGUACUUUACCAGAAAGCCCCGGCUAACUACGUGCCAGCAGCCGCGGUAAUACGUAGGGGGCGAGCGUUAUCCGGAUUUAUUGGGCGUAAAGCGUUCGUAGGCGGUUUGUUAAGUCUAAGAUUCAAGCCCGAGGCUCAACCUCGGUUCGUUUUAGAAACUGACAGACUUGAGUGUGGUAGAGGCAAGUGGAAUUUCUAGUGUAGCGGUUAAAUGCGUAGAUAUUAGAAGGAACACCAGUGGCGAAGGCGGCUUGCUGGGCCAUUACUGACGCUGAGGAACGAAAGCGUGGGGAGCAAAUAGG